UACGUAGGUGGCAAGCGUUGUCCGGAUUUACUGGGCGUAAAGGGCUCGUAGGCGGCCAACUAAGUCAGACGUGAAAUCCCUCGGCUUAACCGGGGAACUGCGUCUGAUACUGGAUGGCUUGAGUUCGGGAGAGGGAUGCGGAAUUCCAGGUGUAGCGGUGAAAUGCGUAGAUAUCUGGAGGAACACCGGUGGCGAAGGCGGCAUCCUGGACCGACACUGACGCUGAGGAGCGAAAGCCAGGGGAGCAAACGGG
rnacentral:rRNA from 1 species